GUGUUAUAAUAGGUUAUAAGCGGGAAUAAAUUUUUAGUUGCCCGCUUGUUUUAAUUUUUGUGUUGGCAAAAAGCCAAAACACUUAGAAAAAAACAAAAAACUUUCCCCAGCUUUCUUUAUUUCUCUCUAGUGCCGAAGCUUUCUUCUCGAUCGUGCCCAAGCUUUCUUUCUCUUUGCCGUCUGUCGCCGUCGUUAUUCCGCCGCCGUCGUCGUUAUUCCGCCGCCGUCGUCGUUAUUCCGCCGUCGUCGUUAUUCCGAUCCACUUUCAUAGAUUUUUGGGUCAGAUUUGGCUAAGAUUCUACAAAUCCUUUGUCCAAGAAGACUUGAGCUUAAUCGUAAGAUUGUGAAUCCUUUCUCUCCUUGUUGUUCUAUUUUUGUUCGGCCAUGUUUGUUAAGGAGAUUGAAUAUGUUAGUAACUUGAAUGUCUGAUCAAUUGAAUUUUUAUUGUAUAUAACUGGUCGAGGAGCUGUGUUGUGUUUGGUAAUAUGGAGAAGUCAUGGGUUUGGUUACCUAGGAAUAGCAUUGAGUAUGUUGAAGGUGCAAAUCAAUUUGUGAAUACUUCAUCGAAAGCUUUGGGUUAUCCUUCAUCGAAAGCUUUGGGAUUAGUCUGAACAAGCUGGAUAUUCUUAACGCUAGAGACUCACAUGUUCAGAAGCUUCUGGCUACACAAGCAGAAAUGGCUACCAAGAUUGAAGAUUUGCAGAGUCAACUUCAUUGUUUAGCUGGAAAAAACUAUCUGGUGCUGAUUUGGAUGCUCAAUCUAAUGUAUCAAACACAAACAAAGGAGGAAUUAAGUGUAAGAUAUUGGAUUGGUUUUCAAAAGAUGAAGUUGUUGUCGGGGAAUCAGACAACAACUCUCCAACUGAGCAUAACAUGGACUCUGAUGAACAACCGAUUUACAACAUCUUUGCUUGGAAUGGAACUGAUAUUGUUGCUGAGGAUCUUUUAAGAAGUAAAUUUGCAUGUGCAGCUGCCAUCAAUUAUGGGGAAAUGGAUGACAUGAACGCUGCAAACAUGAUCUUGGUUGGUAUCCCCCUUGACGAACCACACUUGAAGAAUCAUCUGUCUAUUCUCGUAAAUACAGAGAAGAAUGAUCUCAAAGCAGGAAGUCUUCCUGUGACCGAAUCAUACUAUCUUAUGGGCACAGUAGAUCCCACCGGAGAGCUAAAGGAAGAUGAAGUAUGUGUCAUCCUGGUAAUCCUGCAGAACUCACUUCGAUAUCAUAUGUCUUAGUAUGUAACAAUCUGGUAUUCUUAAAGAGAUAUGUGAAGAAUCACGAUGACAAGCAGCUGGUGACUGAGUUGAUGGCUAUAUAUCGUGCAUCAUAGAUUAUAAGGCUUGUCUAGGAUCUUGGUUUGUAUCUUUGAAUAUCUGAAAAACCUUAAUUUUAGGCUUUUUUAAUAUCAAUUUGAUCCGGAUCGGAACCGUUUCUCUCACUCUCUCUCUAUAUAUGCUUAAAGUUGUAUUUUUGAAUCUCUUUUUUGAUAUAUUAGCGUAGAAACAACAAUGCAGCCAAAGAGAAAGAGCUGAAGGGGACAUGUGAAUCCAAAUUCUA